UGGUAUUGCAGUACCUCCAGGAAC
rnacentral:piRNA from 2 species